GGGAUUGCCUCAGUAACGGCGAGUGAAGCGGCAACAGCUCAAAUUUGAAAUCUUGGCCUCACGGUCCGAGUUGUAAUUUGCAGAGGAUGUUUCUGGCAAGGUGCCUUCCGAGUUCCCUGGAACGGGACGCCAUAGAGGGUGAGAGCCCCGUCCGGUUGGUCGCCGCGCCUCUGUGAAACUCCUUCGACGAGUCGAGUAGUUUGGGAAUGCUGCUCUAAAUGGGAGGUAUACGUCUUCUAAAGCUAAAUAUUGGCCAGAGACCGAUAGCGCACAAGUAGAGUGAUCGAAAGAUGAAAAGCACUUUGAAAAGAGGGUUAAAAAGUACGUGAAAUUGUUGAAAGGGAAGCACUCAUGACCAGACUUGGGCCGGUUGAUCAUCCGCCGUUCUCGGCGGUGCACUCUGCCGGCCCAGGCCAGCAUCAGUUCGUCCCGGGGGAUAAAGGUUUCGGGAAUGUGGCUCCUCCGGGAGUGUUAUAGCCCGUUGCGUAAUACCCUGGGGUGGACUGAGGUUCGCGCAUUGCAAGGAUGCUGGCGUAAUGUCUUCAGUGACCCGUCUUGAAACACGGACCAAGGAGUCGUCUUCGUAUGCGAGUGUUCGGGUGUCAAACCCCUACGCGUAAUGAAAGUGAACGUAGGAGAGAGCUUCGGCGCAUCUCCGACCGAUCCUGAUGUUCUCGGAUGGAUUUGAGUAAGAGCAUACGGGGCCGGACCCGAAAGAAGGUGAACUAUGCCUGUAUAGGGUGAAGCCAGAGGAAACUCUGGUGGAGGCUCGCAGCGGUUCUGACGUGCAAAUCGAUCGUCAAAUAUGGGCAUGGGGGCGAAAGACUAAUCGAACCUU
rnacentral:rRNA from 1 species